rnacentral:lncRNA from 1 species
ACAAAAUCCCACAUGAGCACACACAAUCUAUACUUAUUUUUCAAAUAUUGAUUUGAAAAACUCUAUAAAAGUAAUUGCACAUAAAAUGAAAGGAUAUAUAAUUUUUAAACAAUUUCAGCAACAUUUACGAGCUUAAAAAGUAUUAUUAUUUACGUCAUCAUGAUUGUGUUCCCGUACUGAAAUUUCCCGCGUCUGUUUGCAUUCCCACUAAAUUCCCGGAAUAAGUGUUUUCGUUUUCGUCCUCCUAAUCUCAUUCUGCCCGACAUUUCGGUUUUAUUUUAAAAGACAGUAAAAUCAUAGAAUAAUAAUGAUGCUUCGCAAUCAGAAGCGAAACUGGGAUAGGGAAGUUGAAGCGAAGAAGAAGAAUAUUUAGUACAGUACUGUUUACAUUGGACAAAUGCGUGCCCGUGCGAUCAGGGUUGCCGGUUCGGUUUGAAAUUUAGAACUCCCGCCGUGCUCACUUCAAGAACGCACAACGUGGCAUCAUAGUAAGCAAGUACGGGGUUUGCUUCAGCGCGUUCUUACGGGAGUUUCGCUUCUGAUUGCGAAGCAUUGCGAAGCAUUAUUAUUCUAUGGUAAAAUUGUGUUAUGGUUAUUCUCGUGUGAUUCAUGUAAUCAUUCUCCUCCAAAGUUGUGGUUUUGGAUUGGUGAAGUGUCCUGUCAGCUGCCCAAGUGUUAUCAAAAUGGUUUUGAAAAAGAAGGAGGGCGGAACAAGCUCGGAGUCCUCAUCCUCAAGUUCGUCAUCCUCAUCAUCAUCCACCUCAUCCUCGAGCAACGAAAACUCUGGCUCCGACUCAAGUAGCUCUGAUUCAGAGUCCUCGUCCUCCGAUCGGAAAUCCACCGACUCCGAAACCCGUCGCUCCCGGAAAUCAGCCUCACCCAUCAAGAAGAAAACACCACCACGCUCCAACAAGCCAGAACCAAAACCAGUCAACAAUGUCAAAUCAAAGAAUUUCCCGGCCACAAAAAUGUCAGGCAUCUACUCCUCAGAAUCGGACGAUGAUCGGUCCAAGCGGCGCCUCUCCACAUCCAAAGGUCCGAAAGCAUCCGCAACCGUCACGCCAAAUGUCUCGAAACCAGCAGUCAAGCCAAAGGCCUCGGCUGCAUCGGCAGUUAACAGUAAGAAAAUCGAGUCGAAAAGGCUGUCUAGUUCCAGUUUGAAGCAUGCUGCAACCUCAAAGUCUGAGCCCAAAACGAAGACUAAGAGUAUUUUCAGUCCGGAUAACAGCUCGGAGAGUGAUAAUCAGAGUCCUCUGCCCCCGAAGUUGACACCAAUGAAGAAUGUUCCCGCUGCCUCGGCUUCCAAGAAUCUCAUCAAAUCAAAAAUGUCCAAGGCAACGCCAGUGAAAAAGAGUCUGGUUCUGCAUCAGAAAAGUCACGCACCAGUUCUGUGUCCUCUCGCAGUUCAGUUUCCUCAGGUAAAUUCUUUUAUUUUAUUUUUCGGAAGAAUUCAUGUGAAAGUUUUCCAACUUUGAUUUUUUGGGGAUGGUUUUGCUUUACCCUACAUCCAGGUCAAAUUAUCCUAGAGUCUGCCUUUAUAGAGAGAGUUGAGACAACGCGGCUUAUGGAUGUUACAAACAGGAAUAAAGAUCACACAAAUUGAACGUUUUUCGUCAUGUUUGAUAAACUCAUUCCCAAAUUCCUGUCUUUGUUCCCUCUCUCAUGCCGUUUGUACCACUUUUUAAUCUUUGCAAUUGGUGAAAAUGUAAUCUUUAUUCCUGUUUGUGACACAGUGGAGGCGUAAAAUCAACCUAAAAUGCGGGAACCAAUCAGAAAUGGAUUCGUAUUGUCUUUACUCUCAGUAUAAAAGGACUUUAAAUUAUCCCUGUUAUUUUCGCCGAGGUAACAGAUGUACCGCCACCGUUUUUGGAUUGUCUUCGAUACAUUGAAUAGGCAUACUAUCGCCGAGAUAGUAUCGAUAACGAUUGGUUCAACAUGUA